ensembl:lncRNA novel transcript
AGCUUAAGAAGGUACUGUUUGAAAGAGAAGGAGAUUCCACGACAAAAGCCUCAUCUCUCACCUGGACAAGUGUGCAGCCUCCUACCUAGCUUCUGCACCUAAUCUCUGCCCCUACCCCUAACACACACACAGUUCACCUUGCGAAGGACAGUCCAUGAUAAGGACUCUGGAAUGCCCAAGAGGAAAGGGUGAAGAGACUUGUAGACCCCCGAUAUGGUUUGGCUGUGUCCCCACCCAAAUCUCAUCUUGAAUUGUAGCUCCCACAAUUCCCAUGUGUCAUCGGAGGGACCAGGAGGGAGGUAAUUGAAUCAUGGGGGCGGCUCUUUCCUGUGCUGUUCUCAUGAUAGUGAAUAAGCCUCAUGAGAUCUGCUGGUUUUAUAAGGGGGAGUUUCCCUACACCAGUUCUCUCUUGUCUGCUGCCAUGUAAAACACACCUUUUGCCUUCUGCCAUGAUUGUGAGGCCUCCCCAGCCACGUGGAACUGUGAGUCUAUUAAACCUCUUUUUCCUUAU